AGUGUUGCCCAAGGGCCCUCCUGGCUUUCAUCCGGCUUCAAACGCCCCACAGCUGCCCUCACCCUAUUCCUCAGUCUGAAAGGCUUGCCUACACCCUCAGGUCUCCCUUCAGGGGUCCCUCCCUUGGGCCAAGCACGCUGAUCCCCCAUCAGGUUUUUUUUUGGCUGGAUGACCCCCCCCCCAGAAUUUGGCUCCCGCUGCCCCAAGGUGCUCACCUGAGAGUGCCCAUCAGAGUCACUCUGGCCUUUCUCCAUACAGGCAAGCUUCCUGCUCGCAGAGUUGGGCCCUGGGGACAGAAUCUCAAUAAACACUGUGGAACGAAUGGAAGGAAGAAGCAAACUUUAGCAUGUUCCACCUCACUCCAGCUCACUAUGAUCCUGGUCCUUACUCGGAGCCAGAAAGAACCGAAGCUAAAUGUCAGCUGGAUCACAGCAGGUGAGGAGAUGGGGGGGCGGGUGUCACUGAGAAUUCUGAGAGACUCAGUCUUCGCUCAUUUAGCUCUGUGUGGCUAAGUGUGGCUUUUCCUCCUAAUGCUUAUCCCUGCUGGGCCUCAUGCUCCAUUUCUUUUGUUUGUUUGUUUUUUUAAUUUUUUUUUCAUGUUUUAUUUAUUUUUGAUACAGAGAGAGACAGAGCAUGAGAGGAGGAGGGGCAGAGAGAGAAGGAGACACAGAACCGGAAGCAGGCUCCAGGCUCUGAGCUAGCUGUCAGCACAGAGCCUGACGCAGGGCUCGAACCCACAAACGUGAGAUCAUGACCUGAGCCGAAGUCGGAGGCUUAGCUGACUGAGCCACCCAGGCGCCCCUCAUGCUCCAUUUCUGACCUUCCUUCCAAAGGCAGUAAGGCGACUCUGAAGAGGCUUUGGUGCCCUGCCAUAACCAAGACCCUCAACUCCACCACCCAGCUGGCCCCACGCCUCCACCCAGCUGCCUCCAGCUGGCCUUGUCCAUCCCUGCUGAGCCCCCAUGUGCAGAGAUGGGGGCUUCUCUGUUUUUCAGACUUGAUGCUGUGCUCCCCACAUGGCCUGGGGCUCAUGCACACACCCCCAAGCUAGGUCACUAGGUGAGGGUGAGUCCUGAGACUGGUGGACCUCGUCACGAGUGAUGUAAGUGUAGCUUCUGUGGGCAGGACCCUCCCUCGGUGGACCCUGGCUCAUCUCCAGCAUUCCCAUUCUCAGUCUCUGCAAACAGGGGAUCAGAAGCCUGU
rnacentral:lncRNA from 1 species